rnacentral:lncRNA from 1 species
ACCAUAUUGGUCAGGCUGGUCUCAAACUCCUGAUCUCAAGUGAUCCAUCCGCCUCAGCCUCCCAAAGUGCUGGGAUUACAGGCAUCAAAAAGGAAAAAAAAAAGACUAACAAAGGAGGAAGUUGGGAGAUCAAUGUCCUCAAAAGACCCAGACAAUUGCCAACCCACUGAAUUCUAGGAAGGCAGGGUCUAAGUCUUGGUCAGUAGAGUGAGUAGAGUGGAAAUUGUCCCUUAGGGGGACAGUAAUGAUGGCCCGGCACGGUGGCUCAUGCUUAUAAUCUCAGCACUUUGGGAGGUCAAGGUAGGUGGAUCACUUGAGGCCAGGAAUUCGAGACCGGCCUGGCCAACAUGGCAAAACCCGGUCUUUACUAAAAAAAAUACAAAAAUUAGCCAGGCGUGGUGGCACGUGUCUGUAGUCCCAGUUACUUGGGAGGCUGAGGCAGGAGAAUCGCUUGAACCUGGGGGAUGGAGGUUGCAGUGAGCUGAGAUUGACUCACUGCACUCCAGCCUGAAUGACAGAAUGAAACUCUGUCACACACACACAAAAGGGUAGGCCAGGCGGUGGCUCACGCCUAUAAUCCCAGCACUUUGAGAGGCCAAGGAGGUGGGUGGGUCACCUGAGGUCAAGAGUUGGAGACCAGCCUUACCAACAUAGUGAAACCCCAUGUCUACUAAAAAUUCAAAAUUAGCCAGGCAUGGUAGCUCAUGCCCGUAAUCCCAGCUACUUGGGAGGCUGAGGCAGGAGAACUGCUUGAAGUCGGGAGGCAGAGGUUGCAGUGAGCCAAGAUCGCGCCAUUACACUCCAACUUGGGUGACAAGAGUGAAACUCCGUCUCAAAAAAAAAAAAAAGUAAUGAUAAUCGUACCCGUUUCUUAGCGGUGUUUGAAGAGGUAAGUUAUUAAUGCAGGGAUCAUGGUAUCUGGUACACUGCAAGCCCUUGAUACAUGUUCCUUGCUAUUAUUCUUCAUCUUUUCCUCACACAUCUCAGCAAAUCGAUUUGCCUCUUCUGGAGUCAGACAGAAAUGAGUUCAAGUUCCGCUUUAUUCUUGCUGUAUCUUUAACCGAGUAUCUUUAACUUGAGCCUCCCCCCAACACCCCCCCCCCCCCGCAAAGGCUGGUGGGGCGCUGGGCUGCGGUGGCAUCAGAGGCUUUAACCCUUCCCAGGCCGCGCCUCUCUCCCUGCGGUCCAGACACUGCGCCCAAGGAGGGGGCCUGGGAAGGACAAGGCCUGGGGGUAAGACCCACGCGUGGCGCGGAAGCUAGACCGGGUGGGGGGGUUGUGGGCUCGUCCUGCCCUCGACCCUUUGCCGCCUCGGCGCACAAACUCACCCCCGCAUCCACGCGCUUGCGCGCCGUCACUCCCUCCUGUGGGGUCUCACGGGGUCACACCCUCACGCAAUGCACCUGUCACACACAGCCGCACACUCCCCGGCAGUCACAAACAGUGUCAUAGGCCCACACAUCACGCACAGCUUCACAGCCACAGUGUCACACACUCUACACACUCGAACCUUCAUAGCAGUCGCCCCGCACAUGCUGCACCGCCGCACCUCACACAUCAUAGUCACAGGGGGUCACAAUGAGCAGCUCAACACAGACACCCACAGCCACACACUCGAAUGGGGUCCCGGUGUCACACAUCCUUACACGAGACAUGUGGUGUCACACACUGUCACAGUCUAAUUAGUCUCACGCUUCCAUGUAGCACACCUCACACGUCCCACACCCUAUCGUACAGGCUGACGCAGUGUCACCCACGGUGUCACCACAAGGUCACAAAAGAACAGAAUCAAUGCCUGCCACACGUGGUGUCACGCACGUGUAGUCACACUGUAACACGGGAUCACACUCAGAGGAUGACACAAGGUGUCACCCACAGUCCUGCUUGCCCUCCGGGUCACUGAGUCACACAGGGUCAUCCCGCCCCUCUCCGGGAGGUGGAGCGCGGAGGCAGGGCGCUGAGUGACAAGCUGGACGGUGAGCGAAUGCAAGCUGACGCCUGCCCCGCCCAUCCGCGUUAGGCCCCGCCCCUUGACCUGAGCCGCGGGCGGAGAGUCUGAGGCGUGGCCCUUCGAGCCAGCUCCGCCCCGUUGUUCCUGGCUUGAGUAGGGCAGAGAGCACCGCCCAGCAGCCAGUGGGUUCCCGCGCGUGCCGAGACUCUGAGGCCU